UCUUGUGGGAUUUGCCGUCGGUGGCUGGGUAAUUGAAAGUGGCGUCGGUGGUGUGCAGUGCGAGGCGAGCCUCGGGCGGGUGAGUGCGCCAUGCCAUCACCACCGGAGACCGACCGUGCGCUGGGAUUCAUCACCGUGUUGCUGGGGGUGAUGUACAUACUACACAAUAACUAUGGAUUUUGCCCGGCUUUCUCUCUAAAAUGACAAGCAUCUGAUGCUUACCCCGUGCCCAGUUUGGAGCACUGUCUUUCCAUCCAGCAGCGAGCUAUGCGAACUCAAGACUUAGAGAUAGAGAACCGACAACUGCGAGAAACAUUAAAAGAUUACAAUCAA